rnacentral:rRNA from 1 species
UGAUGGAGAGUUUGAUCCUGGCUCAGGACGAACGCUGGCGGCGUGCUUAACACAUGCAAGUCGAGCGGAAAGGCCCUUCGGGGUACUCGAGCGGCGAA